rnacentral:rRNA from 1 species
GAGUUUGAUCUUGGCUCAGAUUGAACGCUGGCGGCAUGCCUUACACAUGCAAGUCGAACGGCAGCACGGGAGCUUGCUCCUGGUGGCGAGUGGCGAACGGGUGAGUAAUGCAUCGGAACGUAUCCUGGAGUGGGGGAUAACGUAGCGAAAGUUACGCUAAUACCGCAUAUUCUGUGAGCAGGAAAGCGGGGGACCUUCGGGCCUCGCGCUCUUGGAGCGGCCGAUGUCGGAUUAGCUAGUUGGUGAGGUAAAGGCUCACCAAGGCGACGAUCCGUAGCAGGUCUGAGAGGAUGAUCUGCCGCACUGGAACUGAGACACGGUCCAGACUCCUACGGGAGGCAGCAGUGGGGAAUUUUGGACAAUGGGGGCAACCCUGAUCCAGCCAUGCCGCGUGAGUGAAGAAGGCCUGGUUGUCGAAGACGUCUUCGU